rnacentral:rRNA from 1 species
CGUACAAGGUUCCGUAGGGACCUGCGGAAGGAUCAUUAUUGAAUAACUUGGUGUUGAGCUGGCCCUAUUGGGCAUGUGCUCGCAUCAUAUUAUUUUAUCUAUCUCUUGUGCACCUUUUGUAGUCUUUGAAGUGUUCGCAGUCAAUGCGGUUUUGGGUCUUGGGCUUUGCUGCCCUUUUCCCUGUUUGCUUCAAAGGCUAUGUUUUUAUACACACUAUUAAAGUCACAGAAUGUCUCUUAUUGACUUCCGAGUCAGUAAAUCUAUACAACUUUCAGCAACGGAUCUCUUGGCUCUCCCAUCGAUGAAGAACGCAGCGAAAUGCGAUAAGUAAUGUGAAUUGCAGAAUUCAGUGAAUCAUCGAAUCUUUGAACGCACCUUGCGCCCUUUGGUAUUCCGAAGGGCAUGCCUGUUUGAGUGUCAUUAAAUUCUCAACCUUGCAAGCUUUUGCUUGUGAGGCUUGGAUGUGAGGGUUUUUGCUGGCUUCCUUCAUUUGGAUGGUCUGCUCCCUUUAAAUUUAUUAGUGGGAUCCUUUGUGGAUGGUCACUUGGUGUGAUAAUUAUCUACGCCGCCUGACUCUGAUACAAGACUUGUGGGAACCCGCUUAUAACCGUCUCUUCAGAGAGACAACUUAUAUUGACAAUUUGACCUCAAAUCAGGUAGGACUACCCGCUGAACUUAAGCAUAUCAAUAAGCGGAGGAAAAGAAACUAACAAGGAUUCCCCUAGUAACUGCGAGUGAAGCGGGAAAAGCUCAAAUUUAAAAUCUGGCGGUUCCACCGUCCGAGUUGUAAUUU